rnacentral:rRNA from 1 species
UACGGAGGGGACUAGCGUUGUUCGGAAUUACUGGGCGUAAAGCGCACGUAGGCGGCUUUGUAAGUAAGAGGUGAAAGCCCGGAGCUCAACUCCGGAACUGCCUUUUAGACUGCAUCGCUUGAAUCCAGGAGAGGUGAGUGGAAUUCCGAGUGUAGAGGUGAAAUUCGUAGAUAUUCGGAAGAACACCAGUGGCGAAGGCGGCUCACUGGACUGGUAUUGACGCUGAGGUGCGAAAGCGUGGGGAGCAAACAGG